GGCAAGAUGGCCGAGCGGUCUAAGGCGUGUGACUCAAGCGAAAGCUUACCUGCAUUUAACAGGUUUCUCAUCUCGGCAACGGGGCGCGAGUUCAAAUCUCGCUCUUGUCA
rfam:Stereum hirsutum FP-91666 SS1 unplaced genomic scaffold STEHIscaffold_5, whole genome shotgun sequence.